AUUGAACGCUGGCGGCAUGCCUUACACAUGCAAGUCGAACGGUAACAGGGAGCUUGCUCCGCUGACGAGUGGCGAACGGGUGAGUAAUGUAUCGGAACGUACCUUUCAGUGGGGGAUAACGUAGCGAAAGUUACGCUAAUACCGCAUAUUCUCUGAGGAGGAAAGCAGGGGACCUUCGGGCCUUGCGCUGAUUGAGCGGCUGAUAUCAGAUUAGCUAGUUGGUGAGGUAAAGGCUCACCAAGGCGACGAUCUGUAGCGGGUCUGAGAGGAUGAUCCGCCACACUAGAACUGGGACACGGUCCAGACGCCUACGGGAGGCAGCAGUGGGGAAUUUUGGACAAUGGGGGCAACCCUGAUCCAGCCAUGCCGCGUGAGUGAAGAAGGCCUUCGGGUUGUAAAGCUCUUUCGGCCGGGAAAAAAUCGCAUGGGCUAAUACCCUGUGUGGAUGAUGGUACCGGAAUAAGAAGCACCGGCUAACUACGUGCCAGCAGCCGCCGUAA
rnacentral:rRNA from 1 species